AAAGGCUAGAAGCCGAAGAGGCCCGGCAAACUGCCACGAAGAGGGUCACAACAAAUGAUUUCUCAUCCUCUGGAUCAUUAAAAUGAUUCCAGAGCAUGGGAGGUCAUUCUCGUUACUACUUUGUCACUAUGCUCUUUUAGUAUUUGUAGUUGUAUUUUUUCUUUUUUUCUCCAUCAUCGUUCAUUACCCUUUUGGGCAAAUCGCGACUUUUAUUCUUAGUGCUGCGAGAGAUCGAUUACGGGUUGAAUUAGAGUUGCGAAAUAAUUUCGCGCCUGUUUAUUAGUGUUGCGAGAAAUUGAUUACGGUUUAAAUUAGAGUUACGAAGAAAUGAUAAUCGUGUUUGCUUUAGAGUUGCGAAUUAUGAUACCGCGAUUGUCCUUUGCAAUUUUAAUUUUGAAUUUUUAUGAUUAGUCCGAAUGAUAUG